UACAGAGGGGGCAAGCGUUGUUCGGAAUUACUGGGCGUAAAGGGCGCGUAGGCGGCCAUCUAAGUCAGACGUGAAAUCCCCCGGCUUAACCUGGGAACUGCGUCCGAUACUGGCAGGCUUGAAUCCGGGAGAGGGAUGCGGAAUUCCAGGUGUAGCGGUGAAAUGCGUAGAUAUCUGGAGGAACACCGGUGGCGAAGGCGGCAUCCUGGACCGGCAUUGACGCUGAGGCGCGAAAGCCAGGGGAGCAAACGGG
rnacentral:rRNA from 1 species